ensembl:lncRNA
GGCCACACCCACAUCAUAUGGAAGUUCCCAGGCUAGAGGUAGAAUUGGAGCUGUAGCUGCCAACCUACGCCACAGCCAUAGCAAAGUCAGAUCCAGGCCGUGUCUGUGACCUACACCACAGCUUAGGGCAAUGUGGAAUCCCUAACUCACUGAGCGAGGUCAGGGAUGGAAACUUCGUCCUCAUGGAUGCUAGUCAGAUUGUUUCCGCUGAGCCAUGUCGGGAACGCCUGCUUUGUUUUUUAAAGUACUUCUCCAGUUUCUAAGGUUUAACUCCAUAGAGAACCCUUUUUUUUCCUAUCAUGUCAUUAUAGACCUUAAGUUUUUAGUCUUCUCUAUAAAAUAAGUAGUCAGAACUCAAGAAACCCAUUUGCGUAUCCACCACUAAUUGGAUUGCAAUCAUGGACAAGUCACUUUGCAAUGGGGGCCACAUGGUGUUCCGUGGAUCACAAUUUAUCAUGUUUCUUAAAACCAGAUAAUAAGUGGUCUUUCAAGCACAGGAAAGAGGUGCUUUCAUUUUUCUCAAUUGUAAUCUAAUUUAAAAGGCCUGUGUAGGCUGAGAGCAGUGUUUGUGAUUCUACCAGGGUGCAUAUGCUUUUCCUGAUAAUGGAAGCUCUUUUGUAGUAGAGUAGGAUGUUCUUGCAGAACUCACUCUAAAAUUUGAUUCUUUUGAGAGGAAUUCAUUACUUUCCUGAGUAGGAAAAGAACGCUUCACCUGGUUGAUAGUACAUAUUUUCAGAAAAGAUAUAUCUACAAGUAUUUGAGUGAAUAUGCUAACUCAGCCUAGGAAGCCUAUCCUAUCAGAAAGAACACUAUGGCGUGGCUGCAUAUAUAAAACAAAUAAGACUCAUUUAACUGUAAAGGAAUAAUCUUCCUUCUUUCUAAACUGAUUCUUAAGUCUUUCACCGGUAUCAUUGACUUUGGAAAAUUGAAGAAGCUACCUUUGGGAAAUACCUUGAAGACACAUUACAGCCUUCCUCUUUUACUAAGUGGAAGAUUUAGAAACUACACAAACAUCUCUAGAGACUCUAUAUAAGCAACAAGGAUAUAUUAGGCAGCAUAGGGAAAUAAAGCCAUUAUUUUGUAAUAACUUUAAAGGGAGUUUAUAAAAAUAUUGAACCACUAUGGUGAAUACUUGAAACUAAUAUAAUACUGUAAAUCAACUGUAUUUCAAUUUAAAAAAUAAAAAUUACUCACAGAAGGUCAAAAAUUAAAAAGGGUGAAGGUGGGAAUGAAGACUAACUGGCAACAAAAAAAGGACCCGGAGAAAGAAAGACUGAUUUCUCAUUGUUCUAGAAUCCCUUUUAGGCCUUAAUGAGAAAAUGGAGUUCAGUUCCCCAAUGAGAAACCAAACUGGUACGGUAGCUCAUGACAUUCACAAGGAGACUUUACCCAGAUUAUUGCCCUCAGGCUACUCCAUACCCUUUAUGAAGAGGUUCUCCUUGGUUCUCUCAUUUUACCUGGGAGGGGACAUGUGGCUCAGAGAGGGUCAAUACGAAACAAGACAAACCCCCGUCAGUAGUGGAGAGGGGGCUUUGACACAGGUCCUCUAGUUCUGAUUUCUACUGUUCCACAUUCCCUCUGUUUAACCCAUGCCCUUGACUCUCCACACAGGUCUGGGACAACUAUGUGGAAUUGUUUUCUAUAUAUAGAAACCAAUUGGAAAAAUAGAAAAAAGAAGAGAUGAAUUCGAAACAUUCUUUGUUUUUCUCCCUCCCCAAACCAUGAUUUAAGUUGCAUAUAUUUUUCAAAGAGCAUGUGUAGCCAAAGAGUAGUAGAGUAAAUAGAACUGUUAAUUAGAGUCAAAAAAAUGCUGGGAUUCAUGUGUGAUAGCAUUAGCAUUCCUGCCAUGGAUAUUUGGGAUGCUUUGGUUUGAGAAGCUCUUUAUUUCUAAAGUAUUCUCUUGGGCUCAUAGAGGAGUAAAACUACAAUUUGAUCACACAGUAAUUACAUCUAAUGGAACUACCUCAAAACAUGCAGUGCUUGAGUAAAUCUAAAUGGUUUGUUUUCGAAAGAAAGAAAGAAAAAUGGAAGGAAGGAAGGAAGUCAGGGAGGGAAGAGGGAGAAAGGAAGGAGGGAAGGAAGAAAGAAAGCAUAAGGAUUACUGCAGUUCUCACAUACCCUUGAGUUUGAUAUUAAGGAUCUCACUGUUUUAUUCAUUGUGUUUUCCAUUUACGAAGUAAUAGGAGGAAGGGGGUUCAGAUGGGAUUUCCCAAUUCUUCUUUAAUGAGAAGCUUCUCCUAGCUACCUCCUGCUGAACCCGGCAGUUAUAUCUGUCCUACUCUGAUAACAAAAGAACAAAAGAACAAACCACUGGUCGACUUAAGGUUUCAUCAGUGAUAACACUAAGUCAUCAAGUCAAACCAGAAUACCAAAAAUGAGAAAUAAGUGGGGGAUGGGGGAGAUGAAAUAAUACCUUUAUUUCUAAUUAUAUUUCCAUGAUUGAGUAAACCUCAUUUUAAGUGGCUCCUAUCCCUUAGGAAGAAGGUUAAAGACAAACCAUUCCAGCUUACUAAUAAGCAAGAAAUCAGCCCAUCUGCCCAUUAUUCUGCAGCCGUCCCCAGAGCAUCCACUCUCCCCUUAAAUAAAUAAAAGGCAAGAUGAAUGGAUAGUUUCACAGACCAAUAAAUAUCUCCAAAAAAAAUGAAAUAAAGAAAAAUUCUGAGCCAAUAAAUAAAUAAGAAAAUUUAGGUUUUUCUAAUGCUUCUCUAUAGAAGUCUCAAAAAUAAAGUCACAUAGCUCUGCCUUUUAUUUUAAUGAAAGUUUAUAAAUUAUUUCAGAAUUUUUGGCAAACUUCAAAUUAUAGUCACAGGAAUGAUAGACAAGACAAUUCAAAUCUUCUGCUAAGUAUUUUUCAAGCAAGUAAACAUCUCAAAUCCUAAGGAAAAGCAAUCAUUCAUUAUCCCAGUAAAGAUUUCAGGAUGGUAAUUUCACUAUUCGCUUUGUCUCCACUAAUAUUUAUCAUUCUGACAGUCACCAAAAUGCCUUUUUGCUUUCACUGAACCCCUUUUCCCU